ensembl:ncRNA F49E10.22 ncRNA
ACACCGACGUAAGCUUGCGUGCGACUGAGUUUGCAUUACUGAUUAUUUCGCACGCACCGGGAUAGUAGUGCCCGCCGAGCAAAUGAUCAAAAAGUGAUGAUCAGCUAGGGUUAAUUUGAUUAGGUGAU